rnacentral:rRNA from 1 species
CUACGGGAGGCUCCAGUGGGGAAUAUUGGACAAUGGGCGAAAGCCUGAUCCAGCAAUACCGCGUGAGUGAUGACGGUCUUCGGAUUGUAAAGCUCUUUUAGUAGAGAAGAUAAUGACGGUAUCUACAGAAAAAGCACCGGCAAACUUCGUGCCAGCAGCCGCGGUAAUACGAAGGGUGCUAGCGUUGUUCGGAGUUACUGGGCGUAAAGGGUACGUAGGCGGCUUGGUAAGUUGGUUGUGAAAGCCCUGGGCUCAACCCAGGAACUGCAACCAAAACUGCCUUGCUAGAGUUUAGUGGGGGAUAAUGGAAUUCCUAGUGUAGGGGUGAAAUCCGUAGAGAUUAGGAGGAAUAUCGGUGGCGAAAGCGAUUAUCUACGCUAAUACUGACGCUGAGGUACGAAAGCGUGGGGAGCAAACAGGAUUAGAUACCCCUGUAGUC